rnacentral:tRNA from 1 species
CUCCUCGUAACACAGUGAUAGAGUAUUGCUUCAUAAAACCAACAGCUCGGGUUCGAUUCCCGGCGAGAACA